GUGCUUGUGCCAGCUUCUGCUUCAGGGCAGCAAUGGUUGCCUCUAAUUGGUGAACCUCGUCAGUGAGGCCAUGCUGUGCCUAGAGGCAGCUUUGGGCCAGGACCCUGAGGCUCUAAGAGGAGAAGCCCUGUUCUCCAUCCAAGGAGAGGACGACUUAGUUUUGCAGGGGACACAGAGAGGGAGCAUGCGUGUGAGUGGGGGCGGGGGGAGAGACAGAGAGACAAGGAUAGAAGGUCUGAAGCAGGCUCCACGCUGACACCAGAGACCAGCAUGCAGGGUUUGAACUCACCAACCAUAAGAUCAUGACCUGAGCCAAAGUCUAUUGCUUCAUCGACUGAGCCACACAGACACAUUUUGAACUCAAGCAUUAUUCUUAGAGGAAGAUCUUUUCAUAGAGACAAGCACGAGAAAAGGGCUACUGAGUAAAGGUGUUGCAAUGAUCUUUGUAAACCGUGGAUACUGUAGAAGUAACAAAAGUGAUGGAAGAUAGGAAUCCAAUCAUCUUCCUUCUACAGAUAAGACUAAAGAUUUCAGUCCCCCUUAUGAUAAAAACAUCUUAUAAAAUAUCAUAAAAAUGAUCAUGUCCUUUCCUGGCAUUGACAGAUUAACCUAGUUAAUUUUCUAGAAGCAUCUGCAAGGUAUGCAAGUCUCAGCAAUUAUGAAGAAUCUGUCAAGUGAUCAGACAACGGAAACCACAAGAACUGAAAGUUCAAGAGGCACGGCCCCCCAAAAGCAAAAUCACCUUGGACUCUUGGCCUGCCACCUCAUUUCUGCACAUGCUUAAGUGUACUGCACUGAGCACCCCUUUCUAUGAAGAAAGCUCAAGCCCCUGAACUCUAAUAUAAUUGGUUAUUUGUUCUGUCCAGUUCACGUCUCCCUAAACAAUCAUAGCAGCAGGCCGACUGAAGUGUGCUUUGAGAACCAUACCACUUUUCUAUGCCUGUCUUACAUUAGAGCCUCUGUGAUUUUUCAGAGCAUGGUCUCUGUGUCAUUGCCACACAUAGUUCCAUUUAACUGUAUGCAUUUGGCUAUAAUUACUGAUUUUUUAAAAAUUUCCUAUACCCGUGUAGUUACUGGGCAAAAUUCCCAGUAGAGUGAUUCUUUUCAACUGUCAAACUUGUCUACUGACACAUACAGUAUCACCUAUCAGCAUUUGUUAGUAAGCUAACUAGUUUUUUUUAGUGUUGGUAACAAGGUCCUUCAAGAACAAAGAGUACUGUUAGGGUUGUACAGAGUCUGGGAGGAAGACAUAAGAGCAAGAAGGGAUGUUCUGGAAGACAUAAACUGGCUUAGUGGAGAUUAUGAAGGGACGAGAUUUUUCGUUUUUGUUUUUUUUUUUUUUUAAGCUCUACGCCCAACAUGAGGCUCAAACUCAUGACCCCAAGAUUUCAUAUUUAAGCUGGACUGUUUCAAAGUAGUGAGUUAGCCCCAAGGAAGGAGCACAUUGUCAGAGGGAUCAUCUUAUUUAAUGUCCCAAGAGCCCUGUUAUCUUCUUCUAAUGGAGGAAACUGAGACUUAAAAGCAUCAAGCAACCUGUCCAGAGUGUUACACAAUCAUAGUUUUAACCCAGGACUUCAUGACUCUUAGAGUCUCAAUCGUUUUCACUGCAUCACAACGGCUCCCUUUACCUAAGCUGGGAGAACUGUAAUGAUGACCAACACAAUAGAAGUUUGGAGCAAAGCUUUUC